AGUGAACGCUGGCGGUAGGCCUAACACAUGCAAGUCGAACGGCAGCACAGUAAGAGCUUGCUCUUACGGGUGGCGAGUGGCGGACGGGUGAGGAAUACAUCGGAAUCUACUUUUUCGUGGGGGAUAACGUAGGGAAACUUACGCUAAUACCGCAUACGACCUACGGGUGAAAGCAGGGGAUCUUCGGACCUUGCGCGGUUGAAUGAGCCGAUGUCGGAUUAGCUAGUUGGCGGGGUAAAGGCCCACCAAGGCGACGAUCCGUAGCUGGUCUGAGGGGAUGAUCAGCCACCUUGGCACUGAGACACGGUCCAGACUCCUACGGGAGGCAGCAGUGGGGAAUAUUGGACAAAGGGCGCAAGCCUGAUCCAGCCAUACCGCGUGGGUGAAGAAGGCCUUCGGGUUGUAAAGCCCUUUUGUUGGUAAAGAAAAGCAGCAGGUUAAUACCCCGCUGUCCUGACGGUACCCAAAGAAUAAGCACCGGCUAACUUCGUG
rnacentral:rRNA from 1 species